rnacentral:rRNA from 1 species
UGAGGAAUUUUGCGCAAUGGCCGCAAGGCUGACGCAGCAACGCCGCGUGGGUGAAGAAGGCCUUCGGGUCGUAAAGCCCUGUCAGGUGGGAAGAAUGACCUGGGGUUGAAUAGAUCUCAGGAGUGACGGUACCACCAGAGGAAGCACCGGCUAACUCCGUGCCAGCAGCCGCGGUAAUACGGAGGGUGCAAGCGUUAUUCGGAAUUACUGGGCGUAAAGCGCGUGCAGGCGGGUAGGCAAGUCUGAUGUGAAAGCCCUGGGCUUAACCUGGGAAGUGCAUUGGAAACUGCCUAUCUUGAGUGCUGGAGAGGAAGGGGGAAUUCCCGGUGUAGAGGUGAAAUUCGUAGAGAUCGGGAGGAAUACCAGUGGCGAAGGCGCCCUUCUGGACGGCAACUGACGCUGAGACGCGAAAGCGUGGGGAGCAAACA